AACGUUACCUCCAUUUGGUGGCGCUACAUACCAAAACAUGAACUAAAUACUACUCAGUUAAGAGUAGAAGAAGACAUCCCCCACGACUUUGACGUUUAGCAGUAGCCCUGACCUUCCUACUGCAGCGUGACAAACUGAAAGAUGGCUGGACGUGCGUUUGCAAGUUGGUGGGGCAAGAUGAGCCCUUACUACACUAAGGCAUACCAGGAGAUGUGGGUGGGUCUUGGCAUUAUGACAUACCUGUACUACAAACUUUCCUAUGGGGGCAAGAAGGCUGUAAAGGACAAGCCUGCCCAUUGAAUUUCCACCAUGAUGUCCACCCCUCCACCUGCUGUGAAAUAAUGCCCCAGUCGUUAGCCCAGAAGUUCAGCUUCAUAUUUGAAUUUUUGUUAAUAUGGAACAAAUAAAGUUGUUAUCCACAACUUUUU